GGAAAUCUCACCAGGCCCGGACACUGGAAGGAUUGACAGAUUGAUAGCUCUUUCUUGUUAGCAAUAACAGGUCUGUGAUGCCCAUGGCCGUUCUUAGUUGGUGGAGUGAUUUGUCUGGUUAAUUCCGUUAACGAACGAGACCUUAACCUGCUAACUAGUUUAUAUUCUCACAGAGUAUAAUACUUCUUAGAGGGACUAUAUAUGUUAAGUAUAUGGAAGUUUGAGGCAAUAA
rnacentral:rRNA from 1 species